ACGUGGUUGCUGACGCUGGUGGAAGUUCGAGGUGGUGGGGGGGUUGUAUCCAGUACAUAAAAUGCGCGACAGUCUCAUAAAUGAUAAGAGAAACGUUGUAUCAGCAGAUUUAAUCACAUCAGGUGACUUGAAUCAAACACACCCAGAAAGAGUAGUGAUCGAUGUGGACAGAGAAAGUGAGAGGACUGCUCAUAAUCUUCAUGAUGUGAAGGAGCAGGGAAGUUAAACCUGGAACGGAGACUGAGAGAGACUGGAGGAGACACACAAUGUGACAUUUAUACAAACAGAUGAACUGGGAGCAGACUGGGCCGGAAUUACGGAGACAAGACGAGCAUCCUGAGAAAACGUACGAUGAGUACCACCUUAAGAUCUGCGAGAAGUGAAGUGACAAGUGACGAGUGCCUGGUGCUCCAAGGACUUCCACCGAGAUCAAGAAGCUGCUGAUGUCGAUCAAGGAAGGGGAGAGGGAGGACGCAGAGCGAUUGGGGGGGAAGCAAAAGAGAGGGAGAGAAAAAAAAUGGAAGGAUAAAAGAAAUCUUGAUUUUGUCUGAGAGAGUAUUGAUUUUUUCCUCUGGGUUGGCCAUGUGCGCACCAGCCUGUUAUUAGUUUAGAAACAAAAAAAAGUGGUGUGUGUGUGUGUGUG